UAGGGAAUAUUGGACAAUGGGUGCAAGCCUGAUCCAGCCAUGCCGCGUGCAGGAAGAAGGCCUUCUGGGUUGUAAACUGCUUUUGUCAGGGGAUAAACAAGCUUUGCGAAGCGAAUUGAAGGUACCUGGCGAAUAAGCCACGGCUAACUACGUGCCAGCAGCCGCGGUAAUACGUAGGUGGCAAGCGUUGUCCGGAUUUAUUGGGUUUAAAGGGUGCGUAGGCGGUCUAUUAAGUCAGUGCUGAAAUAUCCCGGCUUAACCGGGAGGGUGGCAUUGAUACUGAUGGACUUGAGUGCAGUCGAGGUAGGCGGAAUUGACGGUGUAGCGGUGAAAUGCUUAGAUAUCGUCAAGAACACCGAUAGUGUAGACAGCUUACUAGGCUGUAACUGACGCUGAGGCACGAAAGUGUGGGGAUCAAA
rnacentral:rRNA from 1 species